rnacentral:tRNA from 1 species
GGCCACCUAGCUCAGUGGUAGAGCAACCGGCUGUUAACCGGUUGGUCGCAGGUUCGAACCCUGUGGUGGCCGCCA